UGGUGGAUUAGUGGCGAACGGGUGAGUAACACGUGGGCAAUCUGCCCUUCACUCCGGGACAAGCCCUGGAAACGGGGUCUAAUACCGGAUACGACCACUUGAGGCAUCUCAUGGUGGUGGAAAGCUCCGGCGGUGAAGGAUGAGCCCGCGGCCUAUCAGCUAGUUGGUGGGGUAAUGGCCUACCAAGGCGACGACGGGUAGCCGGCCUGAGAGGGCGACCGGCCACACUGGGACUGAGACACGGCCCAGACUCCUACGGGAGGCAGCAGUGGGGAAUAUUGCACAAUGGGCGAAAGCCUGAUGCAGCGACGCCGCGUGAGGGAUGACGGCCUUCGGGUUGUAAACCUCUUUCAGCAGGGAAGAAGCGAAAGUGACGGUACCUGCAGAAGAAGCGCCGGCUAACUACGUGCCAGCAGCCGCGGUAAUACGUAGGGCGCAAGCGUUGUCCGGAAUUAUUGGGCGUAAAGAGCUCGUAGGCGGCUUGUCACGUCGGAUGUGAAAGCCCGGGGCUUAACCCCGGGUCUGCAUUCGAUACGGGCAGGCUAGAGUUCGGUAGGGGAGAUCGGAAUUCCUGGUGUAGCGGUGAAAUGCGCAGAUAUCAGGAGGAACACCGGUGGCGAAGGCGGAUCUCUGGGCCGAUACUGACGCUGAGGAGCGAAAGCGUGGGGAGCGAACAGGAUUAGAUACCCUGGUAGUCCACGCCGUAAACGUUGGGAACUAGGUGUGGGCGACAUUCCACGUCGUCCGCGCCGCAGCUAACGCAUUAAGUUCCCCGCCUGGGGAGUACGGCCGCAAGGCUAAAACUCAAGGAAUUGACGGGGGCCCGCACAAGCAGCGGAGCAUGUGGCUUAAUUCGACGCAACGCGAAGAACCUUACCAAGGCUUGACAUACACCGGGAAAGCACUGGAGACAGUGCCCCCCUUGUGGUCGGUG
rnacentral:rRNA from 1 species